ensembl:lncRNA
UUGGAAACUCUCAAAAGUUCCAGGAAAGCUCUUUACAUUCUCACCAGAGGAGGAGUGUGGGGUCUGUCCUGCCAUCACCCACCCCUCUUUCAUCACAUCCAGCCCCCUGAGAGGAGUCCAGACCGGCAGAACCAGGUCCUCAGGAGCAGAGUGUGUUAUGUGUAAAAAGCUCUGACACAAAUUCAGCGCCACCAUUUCCAAAGUCCCUCCCCUGCGUUGUGAUUGGCUGUUGUGGGUGGCUCAGGUGUGCUUUCAUUGGCUUGGUUUAACGUAAGGCUCCAGAUAAACACACAUAGAGAACAAAGUGGGACUUUAACCCUCUCUGAAGUCUUCAGAACUGUCUCUGUAUAUCCUGCAGUCCAUGUUGCAUCCGCUCAGACCAUGAGAAAGUUUCAGAAACAUGGUCUGUUUGAAA